AUGCUUGCCUGGCAGGGGUGAUACCCUGAGCAUGAAGGUGGUUUUCCCGGGAAGAGGCUCAUCCAUUCCCCUGGGGGUGGGCACCUCGCCUGUGGGGGGGGCUGUGUGCACGCUCCCCCGGCUACUGGUCAAAGACAGACGUGUCUGUGUCCC
rnacentral:snRNA from 1 species